rnacentral:rRNA from 1 species
GACGAACGCUGGCGGCGUGCUUAACACAUGCAAGUCGAACGGAAAGGCCUGCUUUCCCUUGUGGAUUGCGGGUACUCGAGUGGCGAACGGGUGAGUAACACGUGAGUGAUCUGCCCCCAACUUGGGUAUAAGCCUGGGAAACUGGGUCUAAUUCCCGAUAGGACUGCAGGGUGGUGCCUGUGGUGGAAAACGAUUUUCUAGUGGUUGGGGAUGAGCUCGCGGCCUAUCAGCUUGUUGGUGGGGUAAUGGCCUACCAAGGCGGCGACGGGUAGCCGGCCUGAGAGGGUGGACGGCGACAUUGGGACUGAGAUACGGCCCAGACUCCUACGGGAGGCAGCAGUGGGGAAGAUUGCACAAUGGGCGGAAGCCUGAUGCAGCGACGCCGCGUGGGGGAUGACGGCCUUCGGGUUGUAAACUCCUUUCGACCGCGAGGAAGCCACCUGGUUGGAAGGGUGGUGACGGUAGUGGUAGAAGAAGCACCGGCUAACUACGUG